CCUACGGGAGGCAGCAGUAGGGAAUAUUGCUCACUGGGGGAAACCCUGAAGCAGCAACGCCGCGUGGAGGCUGAAGGUUUUCGGAUUGUAAACUCCUUUUGUUAGAGAAGAUAAUGACGGUAUCUAACGAAUAAGCACCGACUAACUCCGUGCCAGCAGCCGCGGUAAUACGGAGGGUGCAAGCGUUACUCGGAAUCACUGGGCGUAAGGAGCGCGUAGGCGGGAUAGCAAGUCAGAUGUGAAAUCCUAUGGCUUAACCAUAGAACUGCAUUUGACACUGUUAUUCUAGAGUAUGGGAGAGGUAGGUGGAAUUCUUGGUGUAGGGGUAAAUCCGUAGAGAUCAAGAGGAAUACUCAUUGCGAAGGCGACCUGCUAGAACAUAACUGACGCUGAUGCGCGAAAGCGUGGGGAGCAAACAGGAUUAGAUACCCGAGUAGUC
rnacentral:rRNA from 1 species